CCAUCGGAUGUGCCCAGAUGGGAUUAGCUAGUAGGUGGGGUAACGGCUCACCUAGGCGACGAUCCCUAGCUGGUCUGAGAGGAUGACCAGCCACACUGGAACUGAGACACGGUCCAGACUCCUACGGGAGGCAGCAGUGGGGAAUAUUGCACAAUGGGCGCAAGCCUGAUGCAGCCAUGCCGCGUGUAUGAAGAAGGCCUUCGGGUUGUAAAGUACUUUCAGCGGGGAGGAAGGGAGUAAAGUUAAUACCUUUGCUCAUUGACGUUACCCGCAGAAGAAGCACCGGCUAACUCCGUGCCAGCAGCCGCGGUAAUACGGAGGGUGCAAGCGUUAAUCGGAAUUACUGGGCGUAAAGCGCACGCAGGCGGUUUGU
rnacentral:rRNA from 1 species